rnacentral:tRNA from 1 species
GGAUUGUGGCUCAGAGGAGAGCACUCAUCUAGCAUGUGUGAGGCCCUGGGUUCGAUCCUCAGCACCA